UCGUGUUUGUGCGACAGUGCAGAACAUAAACAAAGCCUGAUGGCUGUGCAGCUAGUGGCAGCAAAGCAGGAUCCAAAACAACAGCAGCAAAUAAGAGCUAGCGCUCGGCUCAGGCUCUGAUGUUCAAGUCUGCAUUGGCACAGCAACACCAAAACGCAGCGCAGCCGCGUAAAUCCCAAACGCUGGAAGCCAAUCAUGGGGCGCAGGAGACAAGCGCUGACGGAUGGCGCUUUGAGGAUCAGCUUUUCCUCGUCGCUCCUUUGUUGGCGACGGAUUCCUCCCGAGCUGAAAUUCUUCCAGCGAUCAGGAUUUGCACAAGGAACCGGUCAAAUCUCAACUUGUUCCGCUGGCUUUGCAGACUCCAAAGAUAACAAGCAGAGGCCCAACCCUGAGCCUCGCCGAUGUUUUCCUGACAUAAUGAAUUUUGGAUGAAGCAAAGGCUGGGCGAACAGCUCAGAAGAAACCGACUGAAGCCGCCUCAAAGAGUUGUCGCUUAUGAGGUCCUGGAUGUUCCAUAAAAACCGUUACACUGGAAAUGAAUGGGAAAUUAAUGGGACUUCUUUUGGGCCCCCUUUAAUACGGGCUAAUAAAACGUGAUCCGGGAAACAGCGAAA